GUGUGCCUUCCCCGCUCCCACCCCCAACCCCAAGUCUAGAAAAUGACAUCUCGGAAUAGUGAGUCAUAAAGACCGUGUCCUAAUUAGCAGGCUGCCCGCCGCUGUGGAGACCGCCUCCCUCAGCCUCCCCAGAAGCGGCCGGUGGCUGGCAGGGACUCAGGUCAUCCAGCGGCCUCCAUGGGCCCCUCUCUGGGGCCCCCACACAGGCUGAGGGGUUAACCCUGAGCAGGACUCAAGGACAGUUGAGAGCACACAGAGCAGACCUCUCAUCAGAGGGACGACUGAGACCAGGGACAAGAAACAGAAGAAAGUCCAUGGUAUGUCCCGGACCAGAACCCAGACUUCAGGAUCCCGUGGGCACCGCCUGCCGGGUGUCGCACCUUUUCCCAAGGCAGCCGUGGCCUCCCCGGAAUGAACCGAGAGCCGCAGCCAAGGUGUCCCCAGCGUGGCCGGAAAGAUGAGGGUGCUGGGCGGAAACCCUACCUUCAUUCUGCCAAGGCCGCAUGGCGUGGGGGACACGGAGGGCGGCCUGGGAAGGGGGUAAACUCGGGC
rnacentral:lncRNA from 1 species